rnacentral:rRNA from 1 species
UGGGGGAUAUUGCACAAUGGGCGAAAGCCUGAUGCAGCGACGCCGCGUGGGGGAUGAAGGCCUUCGGGUUGUAAACUUCUUUUGCUCUGAACAAGGCGCACCAUGGGGUGUGUUGAGUGUAGGGGUUGAUUAGCGCCGGCUAACUACGUGCCAGCAGCCGCGGUAAUACGUAGGGCGCGAGCGUUGUCCGGAAUUAUUGGGCGUAAAGGGCUUGUAGGUGGCUGGUUGCGUCUGUCGUGAAAGCUCAUGGCUUAACUGUGGGUUUGCGGUGGGUACGGGCUGGCUUGAGUGCAGGAGGGGAGGCUGGAAUUCCUGGUGUAGCGGUGGAAUGCGCAGAUAUCAGGAGGAAUACCGGUGGCGAAGGCGGGUCUCUGGGCUGUUACUGACACUGAGGAGCGAAAGCAUGGGGAGCGAACAGG